UGACAGUUCUGACAUUGCAGGUACCUCAUC
rnacentral:piRNA from 1 species